CUAGACAGAAGUUUUUCUUAAAAAUGUUAUUAAGAUUAAUGCAGAUUGAUGAAGAUGCUCUGUGGACUCACUCAAAUUCUUUUCUUAAAAAGCUAGUGAUCAAGCAGUAAAUUACAUAAACACAUUAAUAACCUGUUCUGCCUCUUUUUCCCAGGUACAUUUUGCAAGUUUAUGAUUGGCAGUUGUGAAAGAGAAGAGCCAUUCCAGUGGAAUGGAUUAAACAGGAGGGUUGAAUCAUGGUGUGUGAAUGUUUUUGAGACAGUCUUGCUUUUGUUCAACGCAGAACAAUGGAGCUUUAUUACCCAUCACUCUUUGGUUGCUUGAUGUGAAUGUGGAAUAAUUCAGAAAAUGGGGAGAUGUCCA
rnacentral:lncRNA from 12 species